CAGUCGCCGCGGUAAUACGUAGGUGGCAAGCGUUGUCCGGAAUUAUUGGGCGUAAAGCGCGCGCAGGUGGUUUAAUAAGUCUGACGUGAAAGCCCACGGCUCAACCGUGGAGGGUCAUUGGAAACUGUUAAACUUGAGUGCAGGAGAGAAAAGUGGAAUUCCUAGUGUAGUGGUGAAAUGCGUAGAGAUUAGGAGGAACACCAGUGGCGAAGGCGGCUUUUUGGCCUGUAACUGGCACUGAGGCGCGAAAGCGUGGGGAGCAAACAGGAUUAGAUACCCCGGUAGUCCCUGUCUCUUAUAC
rnacentral:rRNA from 1 species